rnacentral:rRNA from 1 species
GACGAACGCUGGCGGCGUGCCUAAUACAUGCCAGUCGAACGCAUUUUCUUUCACCGUAGCUUGCUACACCGAAAGAAAAUGAGUGGCGAACGGGUGAGUAACACGUGGGUAACCUGCCCAUCAGCGGGGGAUAACACUUGGAAACAGGUGCUAAUACCGCAUAAUUCCAUUUACCGCAUGGUAGAUGGAUGAAAGGCGCUUUUGCGUCACUGAUGGAUGGACCCGCGGUGCAUUAGCUAGUUGGUGGGGUAACGGCCUACCAAGGCUGCGAUGCAUAGCCGACCUGAGAGGGUGAUCGGCCACACUGGGACUGAGACACGGCCCAGACUCCUACGGGAGGCAGCAGUAGGGAAUCUUCGGCAAUGGACACAAGUCUGACCGAGCAACGCCGCGUGAGUGAAGAAGGUUUUCGGAUCGUAAAACUCUGUUGUUAGAGAAGAACAAGGAUGAGAGUGGAAAGUUCAUCCCUUGACGGUAUCUAACCAGAAAGCCACGGCUAACUACGUG